AGUAUUAUAGUUUAUAAAAAUUUUAAAUUGCAAAUUUAAAGAUAGGGGUUUCCUUAAUACUU
rnacentral:tRNA from 1 species